CGAGUUUGAUCAUGGCUCAGGAUGAACGCUAGCGGGAGGCCUAAUACAUGCAAGUCGAACGGUAACAGGUAGCAAUACGCUGACGAGUGGCGCACGGGUGCGUAACGCGUACACAAUCUGCCUUAUACUGGGGCAUAGCCUUUGGAAACGAAGAAUAAUUCCCCAUAACAUAUAGAAGAGGCAUCUCUUUUAUAUUAAAGCUCAGGCGGUAUAAGAUGAGUGUGCGUCCGAUUAGGUAGUUGGUGAGGUAACGGCUCACCAAGCCAACGAUCGGUAGCUGGUCUGAGAGGAUGAUCAGCCACACGGGCACUGAGACACGGGCCCGACUCCUACGGGAGGCAGCAGUAGGGAAUAUUGGACAAUGGGCGCAAGCCUGAUCCAGCCAUCCCGCGUGAAGGAUGAAGGUCCUCUGGAUUGUAAACUUCUUUUCUUCGGGAAUAAAAACUGGGGUUCUCCUCAGCUUGAAGGUACCGAAGGAAUAAGCACCGGCUAACUCCGUG
rnacentral:rRNA from 1 species